GACGAACGCUGGCGGCGUGCCUAACACAUGCAAGUCGAACGGGGAGUUAUUUAUAACUCCUAGUGGCGAACGGGUGAGUAACGCGUAGACAACCUGCCUCUAAAUUGGGGACAACACCGCGAAAGUGGUGCUAAUACCGAAUGUGGUAACUUGGUCGCAUGACUAGGUCAAGAAAGAUGGCCUCUAUAUAUAAGCUAUCGAUUAGAGAUGGGUCUGCGUCUGAUUAGCUAGUUGGUGAGGUAAUGGCUCACCAAGGCGACGAUCAGUAGCCGGUCUGAGAGGAUGAACAGCCACACUGGGACUGGGACACGGCCCAGACUCCUACGGGAGGCAGCAGUGGGGAAUCUUCCGCAAUGGACGAAAGUCUGACGGAGCAACGCCGCGUGAGUGAAGAAGGUCUUCGGAUUGUAAAGCUCUGUCGUUUGGGACGAACGUGGAUUGUGUGAAUAAUGCAGUCUAAUGACGGUACCAAAGGAGGAAGCCACGGCUAACUACGUGCCAGCCGCCGCCGUAA
rnacentral:rRNA from 1 species